AUUGAACGCUGGCGGCAGGCUUAACACAUGCAAGUCGAGCGGGGAAUGGUAGCUUGCUACCUGACCUAGCGGCGGACGGGUGAGUAAUGCUUAGGAAUCUGCCUAUUAGUGGGGGACAACAUUUCGAAAGGGAUGCUAAUACCGCAUACGCCCUACGGGGGAAAGCAGGGGAUCAUUUGACCUUGCGCUAAUAGAUGAGCCUAAGUCGGAUUAGCUAGUUGGUGGGGUAAAGGCCUACCAAGGCGACGAUCUGUAGCGGGUCUGAGAGGAUGAUCCGCCACACUGGGACUGAGACACGGCCCAGACUCCUACGGGAGGCAGCAGUGGGGAAUAUUGGACAAUGGGGGGAACCCUGAUCCAGCCAUGCCGCGUGUGUGAAGAAGGCCUUUUGGUUGUAAAGCACUUUAAGCGAGGAGGAGGCUCCUGUAGAUAAUACCUACAGUGAGUGGACGUUACUCGCAGAAUAAGCACCGGCUAACUCUGUGCCAGCCGCCGCCGUAACAC
rnacentral:rRNA from 1 species